GACGAACGCUGGCGGCGUGCUUAACACAUGCAAGUCGAACGGAAAGGCCCUGCUUUUGUGGGGUGCUCGAGUGGCGAACGGGUGAGUAACACGUGAGUAACCUGCCCUUGACUUUGGGAUAACUUCAGGAAACUGGGGCUAAUAUCGGAUAGGAGCUCCUGCUGCAUGGUGGGGGUUGGAAAGUUUCGGCGGUUGGGGAUGGACUCGCGGCUUAUCAGCUUGUUGGUGGGGUAGUGGCUUACCAAGGCUUAGAAGGGUAGCCGGCCUGGGAGGGUGGACGGGGACAAUGGGCCUGAGAGAGGGAGCAGACGCGAACGGGAGGCAACGGGGGGAAACAUGACACAGUGAGCGGGCGCCUGAUGCGGCGGCGCCGCGUGCGUGAAGACGUCUUUCUGGUUAAGAACCGCUGUCGCCUGAGACGAAGCGGGAGUGACGGUACUGGAUAAAGAAGCACCGGCUAACUACGUG
rnacentral:rRNA from 1 species